rnacentral:piRNA from 1 species
AAAGAUUAGACAUGGAAAAAGGCAC